UCGCGCUAGGUGGGGAGCUAGCGGUUCUCUGAACCCGCAAUCCGCUAUAGCGGGGCCGAACACCGCCCGAGGGGCGGAUUCUUCGGGGCCUGGGCUCGCGCACGUGGCGACGACGGUCAGGUUCCGCGCACUGGGAGCAUCCGAACCGCGUCAGAUCCGGGAGGAAGCAGCGCUAAGGAUUCCCUCUCAGGUGCCGCGGCUCCGCCUGACCCGAGCAGGCGACGCGGGUUCCUCCCGG
rnacentral:SRP_RNA from 1 species